AUAUAUUUUGUAUGUAAUAAAAUUUAUCAAAAGGAAAAAAAAGAGUAUCUGUUCUGAUCAGCUUAAUAUCUGAUACGUCUCCUAAUGGAGACAUCGAUAUUAAACUGAUUUUUAGAUUGGGAUGAGGUGCCACGGAGCUUGCUCCGCCCUUAUCACGGGUUUACCCGGUAUUGCAGUACCUCCGGGAAUGGUCCACCACUC
rnacentral:snRNA from 1 species